AGAAUCAACGCUGGCGGCGUGCCUAACACAUGCAAGUCGAACGAGAAAGUGGAGCAAUCCAUGAGUAAAGUGGCGCACGGGUGAGUAACACGUGACUAACCUACCCUUGAGUGGGGGAUAACCUAGAGAAAUCUGGGCUAAUACCGCAUAAUACCUUCGGGUCAAAGGAGCAAUUCGCUUAAGGAGGGGGUCGCGGCCGAUUAGUUAGUUGGCGGGGUAAUGGCCCACCAAGACUAUGAUCGGUAUCCGGCCUGAGAGGGCGCACGGACACACUGGAACUGAAACACGGUCCAGACUCCUACGGGAGGCAGCAGUGGGAAUUUUGCGCAAUGGGGAAACCCUGACGCAGCAACGCCGCGUGGAGGAUGAAGUCCCUUGGGACGUAAACUCCUUUCGAUCGGGACGAUAAUGACGGUACCGAGAGAAGAAGCCCCGGCUAACUUCGCGCAGCACGCCGC
rnacentral:rRNA from 1 species